rnacentral:rRNA from 1 species
AGUGAACGCUGGCGGUAGGCCUAACACAUGCAAGUCGAACGGCAGCACAGUAAGAGCUUGCUCUUACGGGUGGCGAGUGGCGGACGGGUGAGGAAUACAUCGGAAUCUACUUUUUCGUGGGGGAUAACGUAGGGAAACUUACGCUAAUACCGCAUACGACCUACGGGUGAAAGCAGUGGAUCUUCGGACCUUGCGCGAUUGAAUGAGCCGAUGUCGGAUUAGCUAGUUGGCGGGGUAAAGGCCCACCAAGGCGACGAUCCGUAGCUGGUCUGAGAGGAUGAUCAGCCACACUGGAACUGAGACACGGUCCAGAGUCCUACGGGAGGCAGCAGUGGGGAAUAUUGGACAAUGGGCGCAAGCCUGAUCCAGCCAUACCGCGUGGGUGAAGAAGGCCUUCGGGUUGUAAAGACCUUUUGUUGGGAAAGAAAAGCAGCAGGUUAAUACCCCGCUGUUCUGACGGUACCCAAAGAAUAAGCACCGGCUAACUUCGUG